UCUUAAGGUUUUUGUUACGAG
rnacentral:piRNA from 1 species